rnacentral:rRNA from 1 species
AUUGAACGCUGGCGGCAGGCCUAACACAUGCAAGUCGAGCGAGCGGCGGACGGGUGAGUAAUGUCUGGGAAACUGCCUGAUGGAGGGGGAUAACUACUGGAAACGGUAGCUAAUACCGCAUAACAUCAGAUGUGCCCAGAUGGGAUGAGCUAGUAGGUGGGGUAACGGCUCACCUAGGCGAAGCUCCCUAGCUGGUCUGAGAGGAUGACCAACCACACGGGAACUGAGACACGGUCCAGACUCCUACGUGAGGCAGCAGUGGGGAAUAUUGCAAAAUGGGCGCAAGCCUGAUGCAGCCAUGCCGCGUGUGUGAAGAAGGCCUUCGUGUUGUAAAGCACUUUCAGCGGGGAGGCGUUACCCGCAGAAGAAGCACCGGCUAACUCCGUGCUAGCCGCCGCGGUAAUUC